rnacentral:rRNA from 1 species
UGGGGAAUAUUGCACAAUGGGCGCAAGCCUGAUGCAGCGACGCCGCGUGGGGGAUGACGGCCUUCGGGUUGUAAACCUCUUUCAGCACAGACGAAGCGCAAGUGACGGUAUGUGCAGAAGAAGCACCGGCCAACUACGUGCCAGCAGCCGCGGUAAUACGUAGGGUGCGAGCGUUGUCCGGAAUUACUGGGCGUAAAGAGCUCGUAGGUGGUUUGUCGCGUUGUUCGUGAAAACCGGGGGCUUAACCCUCGGCGUGCGGGCGAUACGGGCAGACUGGAGUACUGCAGGGGAGACUGGAAUUCCUGGUGUAGCGGUGGAAUGCGCAGAUAUCAGGAGGAACACCGGUGGCGAAGGCGGGUCUCUGGGCAGUAACUGACGCUGAGGAGCGAAAGCGUGGGGAGCGAACAGG